CGGGCUUGUGCGGACGUGUCUCGGGCGUGACCUUUGAGCAGCUGCGCCACCGGCUCAGCCUCGCGGCGGGGGAAACCCGAGCUCCCAACAAAACGGUUCCAUCUUUGGCUAGGCCUUUGGUAUUUCAAGGCGCUGCCGGUGGGGAGAGAUGCCGCGUGCCUGAGAGGCUCUGGGAGAUGUUAUGUGGUCAACAGGGACUGAGGCUCUUUAAGCCCUUAAAUCUCUAAGGGCUAAAUCUCCUUCCUGAUAUUCGCCCCCAAACCGGCACCAAAGAAGGCCCAGAGAGGUUUAACAACUUCCUCAGAAUCACACAGCUUCCAAAUGGUUGGGUUGGGUUUACAUUUAGGCGGUCUUGCUCCAGAGCCAGUGCUCCUAACCUUUGCAAGCCACGAACCUCAAGAAAGUGGAGAAGGAAACGCUGGGAAAUCUGGAAGUCAGACAUGAGAGCUAAUGCUGGCAGCUGUUGGGAUGUCCUCUUCCAGGAAUGGUGAUGAGUUUCCCUGGAUCCAGCCCUGGCUUGGCUGAGGUUUUUCUCACUGUAAGAAGAGGACAAUAGCCUAUGAUCUACAGUGCCCAUUCCAACUCAGAGAAUCUUUACAUCUGGAGAUCUAUAGCAGGGCUAUCCCUAGUGACAUGCGUGAAGAAGCUUGGAAAUGGUGCUGGGUAGGAGCUGAGUGUGCAGAAUGUGGAAAGGCAUUCUAAACCAAAGGAAGAACACGAGUAAAGAUGAUGAAGCAGGGAUAAGGCUAAAAUGAAAUUUGUGAUCUGAUCCACAUACAAGCACAGUGUAGUACAGCUGGAAUAUAGAGAAGAGCUUGAAGACUUAUGAGCAACUAUCCCGGUACUCUUGGAGGCUCUGCAACCACAGUUUGAGAAACUCCGCGUUCAAAGUUAAAAACUGUCACCUGAAUAGUUAAUAACAUCAAAGAUUGUGAAAGCAAGUAUAAAUAACACAGAGAUUAAAAUAAUGAGGCAGGAUCAGAAACACUGACCUGCUGUGUAAGAAGUCCAACUGCCCUGAGGCCACCAGGCUGGAGAGACCAUGUAUGGAUAGGUUCUCUGAUCAACAGUUUCUAUCAAGCCCAGCCUUCUAGCCAUCAAGCCCAGCCUUCUAGCCAUGUCCACCAAUGUGCCUGACAUGUGAGUGAAGCCAUCACAGACCCUUCAGACCAGCCCACCUGCCAGCUGAAUACUUGUCCUUGGAACAGGAGAAAGGGUUGGAAAACAAAGAUCACUUUUCUCUGGCCAAAUGGAAUCACCCAACAAAGUACCUUCCUGAUGGGCCAGCUAUUUCAGAUGAUGAAGGUUUAAGAAGCAGCAUCAUCAGCGAACUGUGUUUUGAAGAUUUGAGGGAAGGGCUGACCUCAGGAUUUUAUACUAGUUGCUGACCUCCAUAACAGCAGACAAAAUUGGAAGCAAGAGUGAUUUUGGAGGAGUCACACUUAGAUGUUUCCCUUACCUAUUUCUGUUCUGGAAAUUUAAAAAUCUUACUUCUCGUGACAGUCCUACAUGAAAAAUUAAAAAUCACAAGGAUUCAUGGAUGGAAAACUGAGACUCAGAGAAUGAUCACAUUCACAUCGUAAUAAAUCAGCAAUAGAAUUAACUUCGGGCACCCCCCAAGUCAAAACUUCAACAGCUAAGGGACACGGAUCAUGCGGCCUGCUGAACACGCCAUCAAGUGGGGCAAAGUCUUCUUUCUUUGUGAUCAGGCCAUGUUUUGUUCAGUCCUUCAGAAGAUAGAAAUUGAACACCUGACUUGUGGACAGCACCUCUAAACACUGCAGAGAGAGAUUCAGAGAUGAAUAGCCCUGGCCCUUAGGGUUCUUGCGGUCACAAGCACCGUCCAGUAAGAGCAGCCCAUGGUUAUGAGUAACAAGAGCAGACACUACGGCAGGCACUUGGUUUAGGGACAUUGCCUUGUUUCAUCCUCACGGUGACUUCAGGAGGACAGUGCCAUCGUUACGCCGUUUAACAGAUGGUAAAACUGAGGCCCAGAGAGGGGAGUGCCUUGCUUCAGAUGACUCAGCAACGCAGUGGCUGAGCAAGGAUUUGAACUCAGGCAGAAUGGUGGCAGAGCCUGUUUGCCUAACUUCUAAAUUUCCCUAACUCUCUAGAACAGAGGGUAGUAGGAGUGCAGCAGACAGGACAACUAACCCUGCCUGGAAAAGUCAUGGUGGGCUUCCCGGAGGAGGCGUCCUUAGGCUGGGGCUUGAAGACGAGGUAUUUACCAGACAAAUAGUGGAGAAGAAGGCUGUCUUAAACAGAAAAAACUUCUUAUGUGGUCCUGGGUUCUGAGGGCCCAGCUCUUCUCACCCUCCUUCUCCGAGGAGUGGGGGAACGGAAGUGCAGAGCCUUCGUGUUUUACCCUCCUUCUCCGAGGAGUGGGGAACGGAAGUGCAGAGCCUUUAUGUUUUGUGACAGUGGAAUCCCCUUCGCGGGCCACCUCCUCGAUCUGAAAGGCUCUAUCUGCAGCUACUGAAUUCCCUUCAGCUCGUAAGUCUUAAUAGCAAUGUCAUCCCCUUCUGAAAACUUUCCUGGACUGCUCCUUAUCUUGCUGCCGGUGAUUGAAAGCAAUCCUUUCCUCUCUCUUCCCUCACACCUGCCUGUUUGCAUUAAAGUUCUUGAGUUGGACUCCAUCAGUCUUUAUUUUUUAUUUGUUUAAUUUAUUUUUUAGAGACAGGGUCUCACAAUGUCACCCAGGCUGGAGAGCCGUGGCAUGAUAA
rnacentral:lncRNA from 1 species